CCUACGGGAGGCAGCAGUGGGGAAUAUUGCACAAUGGGGGAAACCCUGAUGCAGCGACGCCGCGUGGGGGAAUGAAGGUCUUCGGAUUGUAAACUCCUGUCAUGUGGGAGCAAAUUAAAAAGAUAGUAGCACAAGAGGAAGAGACGGCUAACUCUGUGCCAGCAGCCGCGGUAAGACAGAGGUCUCAAGCGUGGUUCGGAAUUACGGGGCGUAAAGCGUGCGUAGGCUGUUUCGUAAGUCGUGUGUGAAAGGCGCGGGCUCAACCCGCGGACGGCACAUGAUCCUGAGAGACUAGAGUAAUGGAGGGGGGACCGGAAUUCUCGGUGUAGCAGUGAAAUGCGUAGAUAUCGGGAGGAACACUCAUGGCGAAGGCGGGUUCCUGGACAUUAACUGACGCUGAGGCACGAAGGCCAGGGGAGCGAAAGGGAUUAGAUACCCGAGUAGUC
rnacentral:rRNA from 1 species